rnacentral:rRNA from 1 species
GAUCCUGGCUCAGGAUGAACGCUAGCGGCAGGCUUAACACAUGCAAGUCGAGGGGCAACGCGAGUAGCAAUACUUGGCGGCGACCGGCGCAAGGGUGCGUAACGCGUGAGCAACAUGCCCGUAUCAGGGGGAUAAUCCAGGGAAACUUGGUCUAAUACCCCAUAGUAAUUUUGUAAGGCAUCUUAUAAGAUUUAAAGCUUUGGUGGAUACGGAUUGGCUCGCGUGACAUUAGCUGGAUGGUAAGGUAACGGCUUACCAUGGCUAUGAUGUCUAGGGGUUCUGAGAGGAAGGUCCCCCACACUGGAACUGAGACACGGUCCAGACUCCUACGGGAGGCAGCAGUGAGGAAUAUUGGACAAUGGAUGGAAAUCUGAUCCAGCCAUGCCGCGUGAAGGAAGAAGGUCCUAUGGAUUGUAAACUUCUUUUGUAUGGGAGCAAUAAGGCCUACGAGUAGGUUGAUGAGAGUACCAUACGAAUAAGCACCGGCUAACUCCGUGCCAGCCGCUGC